GACAGAGGGGGCAAGCGUUGCUCGGAAUUACUGGGCGUAAAGGGCUCGUAGGCGGCCAACUAAGUCGGAUGUGAAAUCCCCAGGCUCAACCUGGGAACUGCAUCCGAUACUGGAUGGCUUGAAUUCGGGAGAGGGAUGCAGAAUUCCAGGUGUAGCGGUGAAAUGCGUAGAUAUCUGGAGGAAUACCGGUGGCGAAGGCGGCAUCCUGGACCGACAUUGACGCUGAGGAGCGAAAGCCAGGGGAGCAAACGGG
rnacentral:rRNA from 1 species